UAGCGGAGGAAAAGAAACCAACAGGGAUUGCCUUAGUAGCGGCGAGUGAAGCGGCAAAAGCUCAAAUUUGAAAUCUGCCUUACGGCCGAGUUGUAAUUUGUAGAUGGUAACUCUGUGGCAAGCCUUUGCUCAAGUUUUCUGGAAAGAAACAUCAUGGAGGGUGACAAUCCCGUGAGGCAUUGGUGCAGCUACGUGUAGAGUGCUAUCAAAGAGUCGAGUUGUUUGGGAAUGCAGCUCAAAGUGGGUGGUAGACACCAUCUAAAGCUAAAUAUUGGCGAGAGACCGAUAGCGAACAAGUACUGUGAAGGAAAGAUGAAAAGCACUUUGAAAAGAGAGUGAAAAAGUACGUGAAAUUAUUGAUACAGAAGGGUAUAAAAUUGGACUCAAGGUCUAGGUUCGGUAGCCUCUCGGGGUUGCUUUGUCCUAGGCCCUAAACCAGCAUCAGUUUUGGCAGGUGGAUAAACAACAUGGAAUGUAGCUGCUUGCAGUGUUAUAGACUUGUUGCAUACACCUUGCUGGGACUGAGG
rnacentral:rRNA from 1 species